CUUAGCGACCAUAGCGCUUUGGACCCACCUGAUUCCAUUCCGAACUCAGAAGUGAAACGAAGUAGCGCCGAUGGUAGUGUGGGGUUUCCCCAUG
rnacentral:rRNA from 1 species